rnacentral:rRNA from 1 species
AACGUACGCUGGCGGCACGCCUAACACAUGCAAGUCGAACGAAGUAGCAAUACUUAGUGGCAGACGGGUGAGUAACAUGUGGGUAUCUGCCCUUUGGCCUGGAAUAACACGAGGAAACUUGUGCUAAUACCGGAUAAGUCUUUACGGAGAAAGCUUUAUGCACCAUUGGAUGAGCCCGCACUUGAUUAGUUUGUUGGUGGGGUAAUGGCCUACCAAGACUGUGAUCAAUAGCUGAUUUGAGAGGAUGAUCAGCCACAUUGGGACUGAGACACGGCCCAAACUCCUACGGGAGGCAGCAGUGGGGAAUCUUGCACAAUGGAGGAAACUCUGAUGCAGCGAUGCCGCGUGAGUGAAGAAGGCCUUUGGGUUGUAAAGCUCUUUCGUCGGGGAAGAAAAUGACUGUACCCGAAUAAGAAGGUCCGGCUAACUUCGUGCCAGCAGCCGCGGUAAUACGAAGGGACCUAGCGUAGUUCGGAAUUACUGGGCUUAAAGAGUUCGUAGGUGGUUGAAAAAGUUGGUGGUGAAAUCCCAGAGCUUAACUCUGGAACUGCCAUCAAAACUUUUCAGCUAGAGUAUGAUAGAGGAAAGCAGAAUUUCUAGUGUAGAGGUGAAAUUCGUAGAUAUUAGAAAGAAUACCAAUUGCGAAGGCAGCUUUCUGGAUCAUUACUGACACUGAGGAACGAAAGCAUGGGUAGCGAAGAGGAUUAGAUACCCUCGUAGUCCAUGCCGUAAACGAUGUGUGUUAGACGUUGGAAAUUUAUUUUCAGUGUCGCAGCGAAAGCGAUAAACACACCGCCUGGGGAGUACGACCGCAAGGUUAAAACUCAAAUGAAUUGACGGGGACCCGCACAAGUAGUGGAGCAUGUGGUUUAAUUCGAAGAUACGCGCAGAACCUUACCAACACUUGACAUGUUCGUCGCGACUUUAAGAGAUUAAAGUUUUCGGUUCGGCCGGACGAAACACAGGUGCUGCAUGGCUGUCGUCAGCUCGUGUCGUGAGAUGUUGGGUUAAGUCCCGCAACGAGCGCAACCCUCACUUUUAGUUGCCAUCAUUAAGUUGGGCACUCUGAAAGAACUGCCAGUGAUAAGCUGGAGGAAGGUGGGGAUGACGUCAAGUCCUCAUGGCCCUUACGUGUUGGGCUACACACGUGCUACAAUGGUAUCUACAACAGGAAGCAAGACUGCGAAGUUAAGCAAAUCCCUAAAAGAUACCUCAGUUCGGAUUGCACUCUGCAACUCGAGUGCAUGAAGCUGGAAUUACUAGUAAUCGUGGAUCAGCGUGCCACGGUGAAUGCGUUCCCGGGUCU